rfam:Fukomys damarensis contig91541, whole genome shotgun sequence.
GCUUGCUUCAGCAGGACAUGCACUAAAAUUGGAAUGAUGCAGAGAUUAGCAUGGUCCCUGCACAAGGAUGACAUGCAAAUUUGUGAAGCGUUCCAUACUCUU